rnacentral:rRNA from 1 species
CACGCAAGUCGCACGGGAUCAUUUGAGUAGUAAUACAAGAAUGGUUUAGUGGCGCACGGGUGAGUAACACGUGAAUUACAUGCCCUAUAGUGGGGAAUAGCCCAGGGAAACUUGGAUUAAUACCCCAUGGUCUCGCAAGAGUAAAGGUGGCCGCAAGGCUGUCGCUAUAGGAUUGGUUCGCGCCCUAUCAGCUUGUUGGUGAGGUAACGGCUCACCAAGGCUACGACGGGUACCUGGUCUGAGAGGACGAUCAGGCACACUGGAACUGAGACACGGUCCAGACACCUACGGGUGGCAGCAGUCGAGAAUAAUUCACAAUGGGGGCAGCCCUGAUGGUGCAACGCCGCGUGGAGGAUGACGGUCUUCGGAUUGUAAACUCCUGUCAUCUGGGAGUAAGACCUGGCGAUGAAUAGUCGACAGGGUUGAUAGUACCAGAAGAGGAAGGGACGGCUAACUUCGUGCCAGCAGCCGCGGUAAUACGAAGGUCCCAAGCGUUGUUCGGAAUCACUGGGCGUAAAGGGAGCGUAGGCGGCGUGGUAAGUCAGAUGUGAAAUCCCGGGGCUCAACCCCGGAACUGCAUCCGAUACUGCCAUGCUAGAGGAUUGGAGAGGUAGCUGGAAUUUUCGGUGUAGCAGUGAAAUGCGUAGAUAUCGAAAGGAACACUCGUGGCGAAAGCGAGCUACUGGACAAUUCCUGACGCUG